rnacentral:rRNA from 1 species
UACGUAGGGGGCAAGCGUUGUCCGGAAUUAUUGGGCGUAAAGAGCGCGUAGGCGGUCCGAUAAGUCGGCUGUGAAAGUCAGGGGCUCAACCCUUGAAAGCCGGCCGAUACUGUCGGACUAGAGUCCGGAAGAGGCAAGUGGAAUUCCCGGUGUGGCGGUGAAAUGCGCAGAUAUCGGGAGGAACACCAAUGGCGAAGGCAGCUUGCUGGGACGGUACUGACGCUGAGGCGCGAAAGCGUGGGGAGCAAACAGG